AGCUUCGACUGUAUCUUGGAAUUGGGUUCGGCUUUUCUUGCGCAGACUAGGUGGAAGGCUAUGAAGAUUUUCUUCUGGGAAAGUUGGAGCCAACAGUGAGGAGACCACUCUGGAAAGGCUAGAAUCCUAAUGGUGAUCCUUGAAUCAGGACACUUGACAGUUUCAGGUGGGCAGUUUUUCUGGGGCGGAAGCCUCAUAAAAGGUAACUGAGGCGCGCAAAGGUCCCCUCAGUCUGGACGGAAAUCAGACAUUGAGUGUAAAGGCAAAAAGGGGGCUUGACUGCAAGACCCACAAGUCGAGCAGCGGGCGAAAGCUGGCCUUAGUGAUCCGACGGUGCCGUGGUGGAAGGGGCCGUCGCUCAACGAAUAAAAGUUA
rnacentral:rRNA from 1 species